rnacentral:rRNA from 1 species
UCUUCCACAAUGGACGCAAGUCUGAUGGAGCAACGCCGCGUGAGUGAAGAAGGUUUUCGGAUCGUAAAGCUCUGUUGUUGGUGAAGAAGGAUAGAGGCAGUAACUGGUCUUUAUUUGACGGUAAUCAACCAGAAAGUCACGGCUAACUACGUGCCAGCAGCCGCGGUAAUACGUAGGUGGCAAGCGUUGUCCGGAUUUAUUGGGCGUAAAGCGAGCGCAGGCGGAAUGAUAAGUCUGAUGUAAAGCCCACGGCUCAACCGUGAACUGCAUCGAAACUGUCAUUCUUAGUGCAGAGAGAGAGUGAAUUCCAUGUGAGCGGUGAAUGCGAGUAAUGAAGACACCAGUGGCGAGCGCUCUCUGGCUGAACUGCGUGGCUAAAUAUAUUG